rnacentral:snoRNA from 14 species
UGCAGUGAUGAUGGGUAUAAAUCUCGUUAAUCUGAAUUUUUGUUAAUGAAGAUACUUACUUCCCAACCAUUCAUUAAUAUCUGAGC